UAUAGCAAGAUGAUCACAAUAUUUCUAUAUUAAAUUUACUGUUUGUUCAAGCAUAUUUUAUUUAAGAAAUGACAAAAUAUGAUUGAGCAACACAAAAGAAGCAGCAGCUAUAUGGCAGCACGUAGAAAGACAAUGAACGAUACAGAAAGUGAAUGUAGUCCGACAAGCACUAACACGACUUCCUCCUGAAAAGUGUGAGCGUACAAGAUGUCCAUAGACAAGCACGAGAACCAUUUUCUCAAGAGCAGCGAGAACACGUUUUUAGAACAAGAUGCUGAGCAGUAUAGCCAAUUCACGAUUUUCUCAAGAACAAAGACGGUAACCAAUAGCUCAGAGUAGAAUUAGUCGCUAAAACAAAAAGGCUGUUGAAUGUUGUAAGAUAAUAUGACGGGUUCAGUGUAAACAUUAGUUGCCAAUGUAAACAUUAGUCUAAUAGACGCAAGAUGCUGUCAUUGUAACUCACUAAUAUUCAUAGAAGAGCGCACUGGAGGAACAUUGACCUAUCCUGAUUUAGUGCUUACUGUAAAUCUACUUUAAUUUGUAUUCCAGAAGUACCAGAUUUACCUGGCGAACUGCAUGAAUUGUUCAUACUUGGUCCAUAAGAAAUGAAAUAUUUUAAAAGAAACAUUCGGAGGUUCAGCAGUGCUAAGAUCAUGUGUAGCAUGAAUACAAACGAUGCUACAACCGCUCAACUUACAUAAUUAAUAGAGUUAUUUAUAUAUUUCUUUGAAGUACCAAGAAAUGGACGUUGCAGCAAAAAUUAUCCCGUGAUUUCUUUUCAAAAACAUUAAGUGAUAGUGACUAUUAUCCACUGUAUUGUCAGCAAAGUUCUACUUAAUGAGGUUAUACUGCUACUGUGCAAGUUGGAAGCAGAAAUAUCGAGGUGGAUAGCCAACAUGUAGUUCCCUAUAAUACUUGAUUACUUCAAAAAUAUGGAACCCAUUGAAUGGUGCACAACUUGUCAAAUAUUCAUAUAAAUACUGUUCUACAGUUUCAUUGGAAAGAGAAAAAGAAUAAGUUUGUCUUGAUAUCAGUGAUGCAAAUCAGCGAGAUUAUUAAGUAUAAAAAUUGCAGGUGUCGUGAAUCAUCUAAAUACUUUUCGAAUUCCUCAUUUGGAAAAAGAAAAGAAAAACAUCCAUAGAAUAUUUUCAGACUUGCAUGCCCAAUCAACAACAAAUAUCUUUUUUAUUUUUAUCCAAACAUAGAAAUUGCUCUUCAAUAAGCUCGAUCAACUAGACUCAGCCUAUUUUGAUAAAAACGCUGAAAAUUCUGUAUUGCAACAUCCGUGAAUAUUAUACGCGGUAGUAAUCGAAUAAGACUUGGAGAAGAAAGACAAGACAAUAACAAUCUUUUUAGAAUAGAUGAAAAUUAAUGUAAGAUAAUUGAAGAGAAAUCUAGUGAAUCAUUAGCGUCUUUCCAGCAUCAACGCCGCUAAGUUUGUUGACGAUCAGCAAAUCAUCAGUAGGGUCGAGGAUGUAUAUCGAGUAUUAUUGCAGUCUAAGUUACGGAAAAGCAUUGCUAGAGUACCUGUCUUGUAAUUGGUAAUAUUUAUUCCCACUUAAAUUUGAAUUUUCUGUUAGAACAAACUAUACUGCAGUAGAUACCAUCAGAAAUACUCUCGUUAGCUUCUGGUGCAAAAUGCACUCUUGUUUAUUUAGUAGAAAGUGGGUUAUACAUCUUUAGAUUGUAUACCUGACUUCCUACUAUAAUAUUAAAGAAAUAGACGGAACGCUGAACUCCAGACUAAACAACUUAAACAACAUUUAUUUACUUGGUAAAACAUACAAAUCUUUAGUUAUACUUCUUUAGAGGUGAGAAUAACGAGCUGUCGAGUAUAAGACCGAAAGAUGUAGAGACAGCUUUAAACACACGUCCAUGCUCAAUCGCUGGCCAGCGUGAAAGAGAAUGAAUUGAGCGGGAAACGCUUGCUUUAUUAAUUCUACGCAUGCGCAGGCGUUACUACAUUUAUAUCACUAGCAGAGAGAUACAUAUCCGCCAUCUCCAGUGCCGAGACCACCAGAUCAUGUGAAUACGACCGGUCUUUUCAAAUGAUAGACGCUAGACAGCAGGGACUCCUCUCCCCGCCAGCUAAUUGCGACACCAGCUCCUGUUCUGACACUGUUUUUGUACAUAAGUCCUUGAACUGGUUAAGAGCAUUCUUGAUAUGAGAAAUAAGGGCAGCGAUGGUGACAUGAGUUUAUUGAAGUAGUUACUGAAUGCCAAGCACUUUGUCUAAGCCUUCUUUCUAAAAAACAGAAACACCCCACAAAAAUAGAACCCCCCUCCCUCAUCGACUGGAGCUGCCGACAUUUUUCUAGAUAUCAACUAGGAAAUUUUUUAAGCUGAAUAUCAUUAAUGUCAGCCUCACCAAUAAGUGGAAUCUUUCAGAAACUGGAUAUUGCUCUAUUGAAAAUAGUUCUAAAUUACACUGUGUUCAAUUGCAGCCUCAUUGCCAAUUUUUUGCAUUAAAUUGUUUUACAGUAGAAAGCACAGAUUUAGUAGAUCAAAAUCAGUGGAAAAUGUUAAAGCUUUCGCAAAAUGCAGCCAAAAUAUGGUUGAGACAUAAAGGAACAGAAGUAUGAAUAUAUGAUUGAUGCAAGCAGAAUAAAUUAUAAAGUAUCACGUUCGAUCGCCAACAUUCGAGGACAUUGUCACGUGAUAAGCAGAGGACGCUGAACAUUUGUUUGAGAGAGUUUUUAUGUUGAUUUCACCAAGAAAUGUCUUUUGCUGCUUGAUGUUAGUGUCGUUAAGACUCAUUGAUGGAUAGAAUUACUUUGAUAUAAUCUCAUAUAUUUAUUGCCAUACAUUUUUAUCUAAUCAUUAUCACCUCAUUAAAAUUUAUAUCACUUCGACGACGCCAUUGGAGCCACCUUCCAAUAGCUGUUCCACUUUUCAUUACUCAAAGAAAGUUUCUUCGUUUUCAAAUGGAUCUGCUAUCCCGACCGCAUAAAGAUACAUUUACUACAGAUACUUUUGGAACCAUGUCAUUGAGUGUUUCAGAUAAUCCUUUAGACUUCUGGGAAGAACUGAUGAUUGACAAAGUUUUCACAAACUGUGAUGAAGACUGUAGUGGCAAAGUGUCCAUUAACAAAUUGAUAAAUUAUCUUAAACAAUUAACAAGUAAUAAUUCUAUUGUGAGUAAAAUGCUUUUUCUUCAACUUUUUUAUACAGAUUAACAUUUAAGUGGUGUUAGUCUGUUGAGUGGAAAAAUAUAACUUUAUAGGACAAAUUGGCUUUCUUCAAGUCUCUCUAUCACGAACAAAGGAUGCUUGCACAAACCAUAAAACGUUUGACCACUGUGUUGUCUUUACUAGCACCAAUCAGGUUACUUGAAUAGCAACUCCAUUUUAAAUGAACUUUGGGUACUGUCUUUUCUAUUUGUAUCCAAAUUGU